AGCGAACGCUGGCGGCAGGCUUAACACAUGCAAGUCGAGCGGGCCCUUCGGGGUCAGCGGCGGACGGGUGGGUAACGCGUGGGAACGUGCCUUCUGGUCUGGAAUAACCCUGGGAAACUAGUGCUAAUACCGGAUACGCCCUUUUGGGGAAAGGUUUACUGCCGGACGAUCGGCCCGCGUCUGAUUAGCUAGUUGGUUGGGUAACGGCCUACCAAGGCGACGAUCAGUAGCUGGUCUGAGAGGAUGAUCAGCCACACUGGGACUGAGACACGGCCCAGACUCCUACGGGAGGCAGCAGUGGGGAAUAUUGGACAAUGGGCGCAAGCCUGAUCCAGCCAUGCCGCGUGAGUGAUGAAGGCCUUAGGGUUGUAAAGCUCUUUUAUCCGGGACGAUAAUGACGGUACCGGAGGAAUAAGCCCCGGCUAACUUCGUG
rnacentral:rRNA from 1 species